AUGAAGACACCCAUUGGAGCUUUAAUCGCAUUCUUGUGGCUGCAGCUGCACUGUGUCAGCCUUGGGAACAAGGUGGAGCAGAGUCCUUCUACCCUGAGUGUUCAGGAGGGAGACAGCUCUGUUAUCACCUGCACUUAUACAGAUGGUAACUCAGAGUAUUUCCCUUGGUAUAAGCAAGAACCUGGGAAAGGUCCCCAGCUCCUUAUAGCUAUUCGUUCAAAUAAGGACAAAGAGGAAGACCAGAGACUGACUGUUUUAUUGAACAAGACAGCCAAAAGUCUCUCCCUGCACAUCUCAACCACUGAAGCUGGAGACUCGGCUGUCUACUUCUGUGCAGCAAGUACACAGUGCUUCCCAGGCAUCUUCUGUCUGUACUCAAACCUGUGA